CUCUCUUUGUAUAAAGUUAUUUAAAGAGUCGGACCUGCCCGGUGACUAAAAGUUAAACGGCCGCGGUACCCUGACCGUGCAAAGGUAGCAUAAUCAUUUGCCUUUUAAUUGGAGGCUGGUAUGAAUGGUUUGACGAGAGCUAAGCUGUCUCUUUCAGAAUAAAUAGAAUUUAACUUUUAGGUGAAGAGGCCUAAAUUUAUUUGAGGGACAAGAAGACCCUAUUGAGCUUUAGUGGUGUUGUAAAUUAAGUAUAUAAUAAGUGAAUUUGUUAAUAAAUCUCACUUAAGUUAAAAGUAAAUAUGGUUUUAUAAUUUAUCUUUACAAAAAAUCUUUAGUUGGGGCGACUGAGGAACAAAAAAAGCUUCCUUAAAUAAGUUAAGAAUUAUGAAUAUUAAAAGAUUUAUAUUAUUUUUACUAAAUAGAGUUGAUCCAAAAAUUUUGAUCAAUGGAAAAAGUUACCAUAGGGAUAACAGCGUAAUCUUUCUGGAGAGAUCAAAUCGAAAGGAGGGUUUGCGACCUCGAUGUUGGACUAAGAUAUCCGGAGGGUGUAGAAGUUCUCAAUGGUUGGUCUGUUCGACCAUUAAAAUCUU
rnacentral:rRNA from 1 species